rnacentral:SRP_RNA from 1 species
GCUGGGCAUGGUGGCACAUGCCUGUAAUCCCAGCUACUCAGGAGGCUGAGGCAGGAGAAUUGCUUGAGCCCGGGAGACGGAGGUUGCAGUGAGCCAAGAUCGUGCCACUGCACUCCAACCUGGCCAACAGAGCAAGACUCUGUCUCAC